rnacentral:rRNA from 1 species
GAUGAACGCUGGCGGCGUGCUUAACACAUGCAAGUCGAACGAACCUUCGGGUUAGUGGCGGACGGGUGAGUAACGCGUGAGAAUCUGCCCUCAGGAGGGGGAUAACGGCUGGAAACGGCCGCUAAUACCCCAUAUGCCGAGAGGUGAAAUGAAUUUCGCCUGAGGAUGAGCUCGCGUCUGAUUAGCUAGUUGGUGUGGUAAAGGCUCACCAAGGCAUCGAUCAGUAGCUGGUCUGAGAGGAUGAUCAGCCACACUGGGACUGAGACACGGCCCAGACUCCUACGGGAGGCAGCAGUGGGGAAUUUUCCGCAAUGGGCGCAAGCCUGACGGAGCAACGCCGCGUGAGGGAUGAAGGCCUCUGGGCUGUAAACCUCUUUUAUCAAGGAAGAAGAUCUGACGGUACUUGAUGAAUAAGCCACGGCUAAUUCCGUGCCA